GACAGAGGGGGCAAGCGUUGCUCGGAAUUACUGGGCGUAAAGGGCGCGUAGGCGGGAUGGCAAGUCGGUCGUGAAAUCCUUCGGCUCAACCGAAGAACGUCGAUCGAUACUGCUGUUCUUGAGGGUUGCAGAGGAGACUGGAAUUCCCGGUGUAGCGGUGAAAUGUGUAGAGAUCGGGAAGAACAUCGGUGGCGAAAGCGCUCUACUGGACGGUAUCUGACACUGAGGGACGAAAGCUAGGGGAGCGAACAGG
rnacentral:rRNA from 1 species